CAGUAGCCGCGGUAAUACGUAGGGUGCGAGCGUUAAUCGGAAUUACUAGGCGUAAAGCGUGCGCAGGCGGUUGUGUAAGACAGGUGUGAAAUCCCCGGGCUUAACCUGGGAACUGCGCUUGUGACUGCACAGCUAGAGUAUGGCAGAGGGGGGUGGAAUUCCACGUGUAGCAGUGAAAUGCGUAGAGAUGUGGAGGAACACCGAUGGCGAAGGCAGCCCCCUGGGCCAAUACUGACGCUCAUGCACGAAAGCGUGGGGAGCAAACAGGAUUAGAUACCCGAGUAGUCCCUGUCUCUUAUAC
rnacentral:rRNA from 1 species